UACAGAGGUGGCAAGCGUUGUUCGGAAUUACUGGGCGUAAAGCGUGCGCAGGCGGUUCGUUAAGUCCGAUGUGAAAGCCCCGAGCUCAACUUGGGAACUGCAUUGGAAACUGGCGGGCUGGAGUGUGGCAGAGGGGGAUGGAAUUCCACGUGUAGCAGUGAAAUGCGUAGAGAUGUGGAGGAACACCGAUGGCGAAGGCGGCCUCCUGGGCCAGCACUGACGCUCAUGCACGAAAGCGUGGGGAGCAAACAGG
rnacentral:rRNA from 1 species